AUUGAACGCUGGCGGCAGGCUUAACACAUGCAAGUCGAGCGGAGCGAGGGUGCUUGCACCUUAGCUUAGCGGCGGACGGGUGAGUAAUGCUUAGGAAUCUGCCUAUUAGUGGGGGACAACAUUCCGAAAGGAAUGCUAAUACCGCAUACGCCCUACGGGGGAAAGCAGGGGAUCUUCGGACCUUGCGCUAAUAGAUGAGCCUAAGUCGGAUUAGCUAGUUGGUGGGGUAAAGGCCUACCAAGGCGACGAUCUGUAGCGGGUCUGAGAGGAUGAUCCGCCACACUGGGACUGAGACACGGCCCAGACUCCUACGGGAGGCAGCAGUGGGGAAUAUUGGACAAUGGGCGGAAGCCUGAUCCAGCCAUGCCGCGUGUGUGAAGAAGGCCCUUUGGUUGUAAAGCACUUUAAGCGAGGAGGAGGAGCUCUAGGUUAAUACCCUAGAUGCUUGGACGUUACUCGCAGAAUGAGCACCGGCUAACUCUGUGCCAGCCGCCGCCGUAAGAC
rnacentral:rRNA from 1 species